CCGUUCCCUUGAAGCUUUGAUCCGACAACGUAAAUUGAAAUAGCUGUACACUUGAUGCUUCCGUUUGUCAGUCACAGAUGCAAAAUUACAUAUGAAGAUUUAAAAAUUCAUAUUUCUCCGUCACCCAAUGCAGUACAAUGAGAUCUGAUACGCUUCGCUACAAACUCACCAUUACUGUGCAGCUACGUAGUAAGUUAGUCAGCCCUUAAGUCAGUCAAGCAAUCACGCAAUCAGUCAUCCCGUCGGUCAGUUGAUGCAAAUUUACGUGUAUAGGAAACUGUAGAGCGUGUGUCUGAGCAGGCUCUUGAAAGUCUUCGAAGUUCAAAAGCCUCUGUACCUUGUUAGUUACUGGGAAAAGCUACAGAGUUUCUUUCUUUCUUAAGGGAGAAAUGACAUUAAGCACGUUGGGAAUCAAAAGUACUAAAGCAAUGUCAUCAUAACAAGGCAUGGUGCAGAACUUUCAAGUCAACAGUUGACAAGCUCAUCUAUGUCCAUUGAGAACAACAGUGAUUGGUAAACAAGAAGAAGUAGCAUAAAUUGCAAUAACAAUCACCCAUCACAGUCACCGGAGCAAUUUUUAAUUGAGUGUUGAAACUAAUUCCGAUCGAGUUGGUUUUGCUAAUCCAGUCGUGCCUUGCUAAUUCGUGUUUUCCUAGACCUCAGGCAUUUUCUUCAGAGAACACCGUCAUCGUCAUCGUGGCACAAUUUCCUUACUUGCACACUGCGUUUAGUGUAAAUCCAGGCCUUACCUUUGGAGAUUAUCAUUUAACACAUUCGUUAUCGUUUUUUUAUCUUUUUUGAAUUUACUUUCCAUCUUUUCCUUUUCAGAUUUCAGUCUAUAAAAAAAACAACAAAUAAUUAAAAUGUAAAUCACUCGUCAUAGAGAUUAGAGUAUUAAUACUAAUAAUAUUUUAUAGAUCCACAAGAUUCAAGAGAAAAAAUGGCUUGUUCUGUAACAGAUGUAUGGCAUCGGGGACAAUAGUGAAAAUCUGUAUUUCUGUCAUUAAUUAUCACCGUAAGUGCGCCCCAUAAAUAGUACCUCAGUAUUGUAAAAUGUUCUAAUUGAUUCUUCCUUUAAUUCUGAAGUAGGUAAAAUUACUUUAAAAAAUUGGGGCAAAACGGACAGCAAUGAGAUAGACGAAUUAGAACAAUGCGUAAAGGAACAAAAAAGAGGGAUGAAUGAAUGCAAUGUUGAUAAGGAAGAAUAAUCUUUCAGCAAGCAAGGAAAGAUAAAAAGAACUGCUAAAUGACUGAGACAGGGAAAUCUCCGAGAACUAUCAGCAUCUGCUUUAUUUGCAAAGUCUCGCUCACCUUUGGCAAUCUUCUUCUUUCAAAGCUAGACGUUUUUCCAACACGCCUUGUCUAGAAAAGAAAACAACAAAAAAAAGUGCUGUAAUACAAGUUCAAAGGGUUUUUCAUCAGCUGGUUUUUUCUUCUCAUAUAACACACCUAUACACUGCUUGAACCUAGAACACAGUUAGAAUACUAUGAGCCUCUCGGAAAUAAAGACGUACUAAAUGCUCAGAAAACGUAACUUGUUCAG